rnacentral:rRNA from 1 species
AACGAACGCUGGCGGCAUGCCUAACACAUGCAAGUCGAACGGGAUCCUAGCUUGCUAGGUGAGAGUGGCGGACGGGUGAGUAACACGUGGGAAUCUGCCCUUUGGUCCGGGAUAACCGCGGGAAACUGCGGCUAAUACCGGAUGUCCUCGCGAGAGGAAAGAUUUAUCGCCAGAGGAGGAGCCCGCGUCCGAUUAGGUAGUUGGUGGGGUAAAGGCCUACCAAGCCGACGAUCGGUAGCUGGUCUGAGAGGAUGAUCAGCCACACUGGGACUGAGAUACGGCCCAGACUCCUACGGGAGGCAGAAGUGGGGAAUAUUGGACAAUGGGGGCAACCCUGAUCCAGCAAUGCCGCGUGAGUGAUGAAGGCCUUAGGGUUGUAAAGCUCCUUUGCCAGGGAAGAUGAUGACUGUACCUGGAGAAUAAGCCCCGGCUAACUUCGUGCCAGCAGCCGCGGUA